rnacentral:rRNA from 1 species
GUCGUAACAAGGUUUCCGUAGGUGAACCUGCGGAAGGAUCAUUAUCGAGUUUUGAAACGGGUUGUAGCUGUCCUUCGUAAGGAGGURCGUGCACGCCUUGCUCAUCCACUCUYAAACCCCUGUGCACUUUUUGUAGGCUUGGUGGGAUAGGCUGACUUCGGUCGGCUUUGAAUGCCUCGCCUAUGUAUUAAAACAAACGCUUCAGUUUAGAAUGUAACCUUGCAUAAUAAGCAAAUAAAUACAACUUUCAGCAACGGAUCUCUUGGCUCUCGCAUCGAUGAAGAACGCAGCGAAAUGCGAUAAGUAAUGUGAAUUGCAGAAUUCAGUGAAUCAUCGAAUCUUUGAACGCACCUUGCGCUCCUUGGUAUUCCGAGGAGCAUGCCUGUUUGAGUGUCAUGGUAUCAUCAACCUUCAACACUUUUGUGUCUGUAGGCUUGGACUUGGAGGUCGUGUCGGCGUUCGCGUCGGCUCCUCUGAAAUGCAUUAGCGUGAAUCUUACGAAUCGCCCUCGGUGUGAUAAUUUCUACGCCGUAGACGUGCAGUAUAUAGUGUUCGUGCUUACAACCGUCUGCAAAGACAACAUCAUUGACAAUCUGACCUCAAAUCAGGUAGGACUA